UACGUAGGUGACAAGCGUUGUCCGGAUUUACUGGGCGUAAAGAGCGCGCAGGCGGUCGAUCAAGUCGAGUGUGAAAGCCCUCGGCUCAACUGGGGAGGGUCAUUCGAUACUGAUCGACUCGAAGGCAGGAGAGGGUAGUGGAAUUCCCGGUGUAGUGGUGAAAUGCGUAGAUAUCGGGAGGAACACCUAUGGCGAAGGCAGCUCGCUGGGACGUUACUGACGCUGAGACGCGAAAGCGUGGGGAGCAAACAGG
rnacentral:rRNA from 1 species